GAGAGCUGGAGUUUGUUGGCUGAGCUGUGAAGAAGAAGGAGUCUGCUGUGAGGAGCUGCUCAUGAGAAAUCACUGAGAAGAAAUAAAGAAUCUAAAGGUCACUUCAUGGAAUUUCUUCAGCCCCAGAAGCCCUUGCCUUGGGAAUGCAGCUACAAGAUCAGUUCCUUCAGGAGCAGUGGAUCCUACUGGAACUUCUCCCACUGAGCUCAGUGUAUACAAGAUGAGACUCACCUGGCUGGCUGUUGCAGAGUGCAGAACACUUUUAUUCUGAAGAGACUUCCUGGUCAGGCCAGUCUUGCCUGUGGAAAGUUUCUGUGCAGAACAGGAUCCUUGGCAAGAAUUCACCUCUGCCAGCAACAGAUCUGUUCUUCUUGUGGAAGUAAGUUGACCAAAAAAUUGAGAUAUUCUGGUGUAUUUCUUGUCCUCAACACUGGAGAUGCUCAAGACCACGACAGAAAUUCAAGUACAACCCAAGAGAUAACUUCAAGAGGUUUAAGAAUAGAUGGAGCCUAUGUGAAGCCACUGUCCCAUUGUUUGUCAUGCAAAAGUUUUAUCUUGCACUUGAUGUGGUAUGGCUGCAGCUGUUGAAACAAUCUAGCUUCCUGAAAGAGCUCUGCCAAGCGAUGUGCUGUGGUCUGGGAGCAGCGUGGGAUCCCCUGCCUGAUCCAGGAAUGCUUGGAGGGAGCCAGGCUGUGCCCACCCUCACACCUGGGGACUGUUACAAAGCUGUCACAGGGAGUUUUCACAGCACUGCAUGUGUCAUUUUGAGUCUUGUGGAACACGAUUUGGGGGAUCCCAUGCAAAAACCAGAGCUGGUGCUGGCUCAGCACAAUGACAGGCUCAGCUCGGCCAGAGAGAGGAGAGAGGACACAGGCUGCCACCUGCCGCGUGGGACAGACACACGGACACAGGCUGCCCUCUGCCUGCGGGGACAGGCAAGGACAGCCCCCGCUGCCCAGCGUGGCUGCUCAAACAAGUUUAAAGGAGCUUAAAUCUGAAGAGAUGUGGGUGGGAAGUUUAAAAAUAUCGAAUUAUUUAGUGAGCACUGUGCAUCCUUGGAUAAAUGAGGGGACACUGUCUGGUAUGAAGUUAGCUGCUGCUCCACUCGCUCCAAGUACAGGAAUAGGUGUUGUCCUUGUGUCUUAGACACGCACCUGGAACCCCCAGACCCUUUGGGGCAGCCCAGGUAGAUCAUGGCCAUCCUUCCCACGGGCUGCAGUGACGGCCCCGGUCCCCGCCCAGCCCAGCAGAGCCGGGUGCCAGGGCACAGCCAGCCCCCACAGGGACAGAGAGUGCCAUGCCCGGGGCCUCCCUGUGCUUCACAGCAGCUUGAGGAGUACCAUAAAACAUUCCCUGCAGCUUCAGCUGUCCCAGAGAAGUCUGGAGAGCAAUUUUCAUGUAGUUUUAAGGAAGGACUAGGAAAAUACCAAGAAACAUAAACCUUCCAAUACUGAUAAUCUGGAGAAUGUAUCAAUCCUGUCACUGACUCUAGGAUAAACAUGUAGGAAAUGAAACUGGGUAUUUCUGUCUCAUCAGCUUCUUGUUCAUAUCCAAGAGACAUACAGGUAGAUUCAUCCUGUCAUACAAGCAGCCAGUCAUAUGGACACCACUGUGGGAAGAUGCAGGGGAGACAGGGUCAGUGAUCUCUGUUCUGCAUGCCCCAGGAGUGUGGGAUGCUCAGUGCUGGCUCUCCAAGGUCUGUGCCUUUGGUUACCUCCUGUCAGUGCUUUUUGUCACUUACUCCUCUCCUGCAUUUGUUCAGGACCUAUUUUUCCAACAUCCCUUUGGUCACAGACAUUUUUUGCUGAUUCCCUACUAGGAUGAAAAUAAAUUGGACUUUAUCACAACUGCUAGUAUAUCCAGGGAGCAAGAGGCCAUUGCCUCUUUGUGUAAAGUGAUGGGAAAGGGCUCUCUAGCACUCUGAAAGCUUUAAAAACCUUGCUUUCAGUUUGGAAGGGAAUUUCAACUAAAA